UUCUUUUGGAUCUGUUUUGUUUUGUGUAGGAACAGAUUUUCACCUAAAAAUAAAAUACAAAAUAUUGAGCACUAAUGUGGAAUCUUAAAAAGGUGUAGGAUUAAAAAAAAAUCAAAGUAUCUGUGUCAAUUGAUGUCUAUUUUAUUGCAAUCAUAUGCAUAGAAAUUAAAGUGCAUAAAUAUAAAUGUCCAAGUAGUGACAGCAAAUAUUUCCAAAAUAAAUUGUAAUUGUGAAAAAAUUUAAAUUCACUUCUGAAUAACUUUAUUGAAUCUCAUUUUUAAAAGAUGAUUGAAGAAGAUAAAGUAUUUAUUAGAAAUAGGCAAUAUUCUGAGGCUAAAAUAUGCUUUCAUGUAAGUAGUGGUUUUGCCAUUUGAUUAUUAUUUUGUCAAAAUGUUCACUACUUAUUUUAACCCAUUUUUCAUAUUAUAUAAUCAUAAAGGUCUUACAAAAAAUAGUGAUUCAGUGAAAUUCUGGCAUUAAUAUCAUAUAGAAAACAUAAGACAAUUCAAAGUGAUUGCAUAUUUUUCUGUUUCAGAUAUGUGAUAAUUUUGGUAAUUGCCAAUGCUUUCCAGACCACAGGCCCCCAGACUGUGAAUUCCGUCUUAGUUCACCAGGGGGCAGUAUUGACGAUGGAAAUGUUCAGAAAUCAGACUUACGACCUGGGAAGACUUUUGUCAGGCUGUUUGCACAACUGAGGAAGACACUGAGAAGACAUGCAGUCCACAGUGCAGUAUCUGCUAGAGCUGAGGAAGACACUGAGCAGAUAUUGGUGGCUAUGGUGCAUUAUUGGCCUACAAACAAAUCUAUAAUGGAAGAGAAGAAGAGAAAGAAUGCAUCCACUGCACCAGAAAGCUACCACGUGGAAUAUGAAGACUGCCAAGGUCGCCAGCAAAUGGCCUAAAGAAGAAAAUGAGCUUUAUAACCCUAAAGUCCCGCCCCAAAUACAGUUUAUAAAAUAAAGCUGUGAGUCCCCGGAGCAAACUGAUGGGUCAGCCAGGACCGCGGGCUGGGUGGGGGGCGGGAGGAACCAGGCUCAGGACCAGGAACCGCAGCCCACGCUCCGCAGGA
rnacentral:lncRNA from 1 species